rnacentral:rRNA from 1 species
AUUGAACGCUGGCGGCAGGCCUAACACAUGCAAGUCGAGCGGAUGAAGGGAGCUUGCUCCUGGAUUCAGCGGCGGACGGGUGAGUAAUGCCUAGGAAUCUGCCUGGUAGUGGGGGAUAACGUCCGGAAACGGGCGCUAAUACCGCAUACGUCCUGAGGGAGAAAGUGGGGGAUCUUCGGACCUCACGCUAUCAGAUGAGCCUAGGCCGGAUUAGCUAGUUGGUGGGGUAAAGGCCUACCAAGGCGACGAUCCGUAACUGGUCUGAGAGGAUGAUCAGUCGCACUGGAACUGAGACACGGUCCAGACUCCUACGGGAGGCAGCAGUGGGGAAUAUUGGACAAUGGGCGAAAGCCUGAUCCAGCCAUGCCGCGUGUGUGAAGAAGGUCUUCGGAUUGUAAAGCACUUUAAGUUGGGAGGAAGGGCAGUAAGUUAAUACCUUGCUGUUUUGACGUUACCAACAGAAUAAGCACCGGCUAACUUCGUG